rnacentral:rRNA from 1 species
UACGUAGGGUGCGAGCGUUAAUCGGAAUUACUGGGCGUAAAGCGUGCGCAGGCGGUUUUGUAAGCCAGAUGUGAAAUCCCCGGGCUCAACCUGGGAAUGGCAUUUGGGACUGCAAGGCUCGAGUGCGGCAGAGGAGACUGGAAUUCCUGGUGUAGCAGUGAAAUGCGUAGAUAUCGUAAGGAAGACCAGUGGCGAAGGCGGGUCUCUGGACAGUUCCUGACGCUGAGGCACGAAGGUCAGGGGAGCAAACGGG